UUGAACUGAAGAGUUUGAUCCUGGCUCAGAUUGAACGCUGGCGGCAUGCCUUACACAUGCAAGUCGAACGGCAGCACGGGUGCUUGCACCUGGUGGCGAGUGGCGAACGGGUGAGUAAUACAUCGGAACAUGUCCUGUAGUGGGGGAUAGCCCGGCGAAAGCCGGAUUAAUACCGCAUACGAUCCACGGAUGAAAGCGGGGGACCUUCGGGCCUCGCGCUAUAGGGUUGGCCGAUGGCUGAUUAGCUAGUUGGUGGGGUAAAGGCCUACCAAGGCGACGAUCAGUAGCUGGUCUGAGAGGACGACCAGCCACACUGGGACUGAGACACGGCCCAGACUUCUACGGGAGGCAGCAGUGGGGAAUUUUGGACAAUGGGCGAAAGCCUGAUCCAGCAAUGCCGCGUGUGUGAAGAAGGCCUUCGGGUUGUAAAGCACUUUUGUCCGGAAAGAAAUCCUUGGCUCUAAUACAGUCGGGGGAUGACGGUACCGGAAGAAUAAGCGCCGGCUAACUACGUGCCAGCAGCCGCGGUAAUACGUAGGGUGCAAGCGUUAAUCGGAAUUACUGGGCGUAAAGCGUGCGCAGGCGGUUUGCUAAGACCGAUGUGAAAUCCCCGGGCUCAACCUGGGAACUGCAUUGGUGACUGGCAGGCUAGAGUAUGGCAGAGGGGGGUAGAAUUCCACGUGUAGCAGUGAAAUGCGUAGAGAUGUGGAGGAAUACCGAUGGCGAAGGCAGCACCCUGGGCCAAUACUGACGCUCAUGCACGAAAGCGUGGGGAGCAAACAGGAUUAGAUACCCUGGUAGUCCACGCCCUAAACGAUGUCAACUAGUUGUUGGGGAUUCAUUUCCUUAGUAACGUAGCUAACGCGUGAAGUUGACCGCCUGGGGAGUACGGUCGCAAGAUUAAAACUCAAAGGAAUUGACGGGGACCCGCACAAGCGGUGGAUGAUGUGGAUUAAUUCGAUGCAACGCGAAAAACCUUACCUACCCUUGACAUGGUCGGAAUCCCGCUGAGAGGUGGGAGUGCUCGAAAGAGAACCGGCGCACAGGUGCUGCAUGGCUGUCGUCAGCUCGUGUCGUGAGAUGUUGGGUUAAGUCCCGCAACGAGCGCAACCCUUGUCCUUAGUUGCUACGCAAGAGCACUCUAAGGAGACUGCCGGUGACAAACCGGAGGAAGGUGGGGAUGACGUCAAGUCCUCAUGGCCCUUAUGGGUAGGGCUUCACACGUCAUACAAUGGUCGGAACAGAGGGUUGCCAACCCGCGAGGGUGAGCUAAUCCCAGAAAACCGAUCGUAGUCCGGAUUGCACUCUGCAACUCGAGUGCAUGAAGCUGGAAUCGCUAGUAAUCGCGGAUCAGCAUGCCGCGGUGAAUACGUUCCCGGGUCUUGUACACACCGCCCGUCACACCAUGGGAGUGGGUUUUACCAGAAGUGGCUAGUCUAACCGCAAGGAGGACGGUCACCACGGUAGGAUUCAUGACUGGGGUGAAGUCGUAACAAGGUAGCCGUAUCGGAAGGUGCGGCUGGAUCACCUCCUUUC
rnacentral:rRNA from 1 species